GAGCUGAGUGUAUAGCAGGUGUUGGGGAAGGGACUCCCAAGGUCUGGACUUGUGCUAUCCCAUCUGGCAGCCACCAGCCACACGUGGCCACUGAACCUGAGAAAUGUAACCGAACUGAACUGGGACAUGCCGUCCAGAUAUUCGGGGGAAGGAGCAUUAGGGGUAAAAGAACGGGAGAGACAUUGUUCUUCCUUUCUGCCGAAAUCAGAAGAGAAACAGACCAAACUGCGGCAAUCUGGAAGAAAGACGGGAGAUUACAGAAGGGUCUUCUCGACAGGGAGGACUGAACAGUGUGAAAGACCUGCUCACCUCCUUCCUGGAAAGCUUUCAGGAUAGGUCAAGACUUUGCAUAUCUCAAGGAAAGCUCUGGAUGGAGACUGGGACCACAGAAAGGAGCCCCCUGAGGU